UACGAAGGGGGCUAGCGUUGUUCGGAUUUACUGGGCGUAAAGCGCACGUAGGCGGAUUGUUAAGUGAGAGGUGAAAAUCCCGGAGCUCAACUCCGGAACUGCCUUUCAUACUGGCAAUCUAGAGUCCGGAAGAGGUGAGUGGAACUCCUAGUGUAGAGGUGGAAUUCGUAGAUAUUAGGAAGAACACCAGUGGCGAAGGCGGCUCACUGGUCCGGUACUGACGCUGAGGUGCGAAAGCGUGGGGAGCAACAGG
rnacentral:rRNA from 1 species